UGAGGAAUAUUGGUCAAUGGGCGGAAGCCUGAACCAGCCAAGUCGCGUGAGGGAAUAAGGCCCUACGGGUCGUAAACCUCUUUUGCCGGGGAGCAAGGGCGGGGAC
rnacentral:rRNA from 1 species